AUGAGCCACGUGGAGCCCCGGCACCGCCCUGCCGGCACCCUCUCGACUCCUCCCGGGUACGCGGUACCGCGCCCGCAGCCCUUCCCCUCGGCACCCCUGUCCCCCCUCGGCACCCCGGCCACCCCCAUCCCACCCCCGACCCCGCAGUGCCCUCCGAUGAUCACGGGGUACCUCCAUCCCGCCCCAAGAUCACCACCCAUCCUUCUCCUCAGCACCCCACUUCCCUCGGAGUACCCUCAUCCCACCCCUCGCGGGCAUCCGCGUGCCCCUCUGACGGACACCCUGCGUCCCACGGGGGCUCUUCGCGUCCCACGCCACGCGGGUGCCCCACGCCUCAGGGAGCGGAGCCCAUCACCGAGCGCGGAGCGACGGCUGCGGGCAGCCCGGGAGCGCGGGGAAAGAGGCUGCGCACGACAAGCCCGAGAAAUCUGUCAUCCAUACUUAGACACUCUGAGCACAUACACCUGAAUUCCUGCGGGUUGUCCUGUGCUGCCCAAGAAAGGUUUCCCUCCCUGCAGGUGUGGCUCCUGAGGCUGUACCGUUGCUCCUGUGCUGCACACCACCGCCUGCAAAAUUUUGGAUGGGCAGAAAAAUGAAUGAAUUAUAAAAGGCACAGACUUUUCUGAACUAUAUGUCUUUUUCUACAAAUGUGUAUUUUAAAAUGCAUAAUAAAAAAUGAAAACAACUAUAGAAUUGAUAACA
rnacentral:lncRNA from 1 species